rnacentral:rRNA from 1 species
CCCUUAGAUGUUCUGGGCCGCACGCGCGCUACACUGAUAAUGUCAACAAGCUUUACCUUGGCCGAUAGGUCUGGGCAAUCUUCGAACUAUUAUCGUGAUGGGGCUAGAUUAUUGCAACUAUUAAUCUUAAACGAGGAAUUCCUAGUAAGCGCGAGUCAUCAGCUCGCGUUGAUUACGUCCCUGCCCUUUGUACACACCGCCCGUCGCUCCUACCGAUUGGAUUGGCUGGUGAAGCCUCGGGAUUGUGGUUCUUGCCGCUUUAUUGUGGCGUGACCGCGAGAACUUGUCUAAACCUUAUCAUCUAGAGGAAGGUGAAGUCGUAACA